rnacentral:rRNA from 1 species
AGAGUUUGAUCCUGGCUCAGAGCGAACGCUGGCGGCAGGCUUAACACAUGCAAGUCGAGCGGGCCCUUCGGGGUCAGCGGCGGACGGGUGAGUAACGCGUGGGAACGUGCCUUCUGGUUCGGAAUAACCCUGGGAAACUAGGGCUAAUACCGGAUACGCCCUUUUGGGGAAAGGUUUACUGCCGGAAGAUCGGCCCGCGUCUGAUUAGCUAGUUGGUGGGGUAACGGCCUACCAAGGCGACGAUCAGUAGCUGGUCUGAGAGGAUGAUCAGCCACACUGGGACUGAGACACGGCCCAGACUCCUACGGGAGGCAGCAGUGGGGAAUAUUGGACAAUGGGCGCAAGCCUGAUCCAGCCAUGCCGCGUGAGUGAUGAAGGCCUUAGGGUUGUAAAGCUCUUUUAUCCGGGACGAUAAUGACGGUACCGGAGGAAUAAGCCCCGGCUAACUUCGUGCCAGCAGCCGCGGUAAUAC